ensembl:snoRNA
AAGCACAUUUCACUGUCUUUUUCUUUAUAUUAAGAGAAAAGAUAUUUCUGGUGUGCUAAGUAAACCCCUGGAGGUAAAUUAGCGGCAUGACUAAUUUAGCCAUGUCAGUCUCCUUCAGACAACC